GCACGAUCUACCUGAAUUCCCUGGUCACUUUUCUGACCCUACUCUGUCCUUGCUCAUCACAUAAUGGGGGCACUUUACGUGAUUCAACGAGUGGCCAAACUCUUGCAGAUCCAGCGAUAACCUUGGUUGCUCACACCACAUAACUCAACCGUGGAAGAAAUGGUGCCACCGCUGGCAGGAGAGGCCCUAAGGUAACUUCUGAGGGCAUGGGACUUGGCGGUAAAAACAGAGAAGGUGCUGUGGACCCCAUUUUCGGAAGAAAACUGUUUUCCUCACAGAAUCCCAGGAAUUGAAAGCUGAUGGAUACCUCUCAAAAUCUGUUUUUGUCUUCUGGCUAUGCCUGUUUAUUAGGCUGUAGAAAUUGCAUGCUCUCCUAGCGGUGCUUUUGAAAGCCUCCAUCCUGAGGCCAAUAAUCCAAUUAUGAGAUUGGCAAAUGAAAAAUCUUACAAUUACUGUAUCUUCUUCUAUCUGUCUGUAUAGUUAUAUAUGUGUUAUAUGUGUGAUAUUUAUAAAAAAGAGCUCUAAUUGAUUAGCCUAAAGAAAAACAAGUGCUUAGACCAAAUAUUUUGAAGGAAAAAUAAAAGCUGUAAUGCCUUUUAGUUCACGUGACUUUAAUCUUUGAGAAAUAAAAACAGUUUUAAAGAUAAUUGGUAAAAUACAAAUGUCUUCAGAAUGUAAACAAGUGGUCUAAAUUAUGUGGGUUAGAUACUAGGUUUGCGAAAUGUUUUAAGGUUAUAAACUACUUCUUUGUUAUUUGAGAACUUUUUGACCUGCCUGCUUUACAAUUUGGUAAGGCUGAGGACAUAUGGAAUUAACCACACCCUUAACUAUACUGGAAAGAGUCAGAUCUUAUCUGUGCCUACUACAUAAUUUAAAUAACCAAGUUUUACACUAAAAUUAAAAAUUGCUAAGAGUUGCUGUUAUAACAUGUAAUUGAGACUACUGAAAAUAGACUUACAUGCAAUGUGUGUAAACAAAGUAAAAUAUGUUUUUAGUAAAAGAUAAGAAGACAAGGGAAUGUAAAUUUUUGCCUAGGGUUAAAGGAUUGUUUUGAAUUAGACAAGAUAAAACUGAAGGUUUAAACAAGUGGAGAAAGGUUUAUAAAAAUGAUCUUAUAAAAGAAGCUCUAUGUGUAACAUAUUGACUAACUUCAAAAGGGUAUUAUUUGGUUUUUCUGUAAAUUAAGCAUUGAAAUAAAAGCACAACAAGGUUUUCUUGAGGCACUGACCUGCUCUUUCACAAAAAUUUGUAGAGUUAUAAAAGGAUUACAAGAAUUUCAUCUGAUGGUCAAACUGGUUAAGAUUGAAUAGAAUUAUCUAUAAGGUUUCAUUUAAAAAUGGAGUUGAUAUUAAUAGUAGACUAAUGCAAGAGUAAAAUUUGGCUUUCUCUCUUGAACAAGAUUUUCAUGUAAUAGUAAAAGAUAAUGAAAAGUUUUUGCCUUUUUAAAAAUUUCUGAGUCAUCAUUUUGGCUAAAUAAAUAACUUAUGGUAAUCUGCUAUUCUAUUUCAUAAUAUCAGGUGUUUUGAACCUUCAACACAUUUAACAGACUUCCUAAAGUCAAACUUCAGCUUCAAAAAUUGUCUUUCCUAACCUCUAGCUUUUGGAUGCUACAGAGGGCUCUUGGAGUAUUCAAAAGAAAGGUAAACAGGAUUAUUUCACAUGUUUAGUUACAUGGGAUUGCCAAAAUAAUGUUUAAUCUUCUUCAGGUUAUAUUUCAGUGAAUAAUAUUAAUAUAUGUUCCAAAAUUGUAUGGGAUUUUAAAAAUUCUAAUGUCUGAAUAUAUGCUAUCAAUCAUAAUUAAGUUUAUUAUGUCAAGUUAUUGUAAACCACAGAAAUAACUACAUUUCUUUGUCAAUUGUGUUUUUGACUGUAACUACCCUGGAUAUUUUGUCAUUCACAGAUAAGUGUUGCCUUGCUUUAAUCCUUUUCAAAAGAUGGUUUAUAAUCAGCUAUAGGACUUUGACAGGUGCUGUUAAAUGUAGGUUUCUGAUAUCUCUGAAGAUUGUAAUAUUGGAACAAAGGAAAAAUGUACAGGACACCUGAAGAGUUGAAAUGUUCAUGGAUAUCAAACAGAAUAAAAGUUAACAGAAUGGACUGAACUAACAGAAAACUGAAGUAAUCUUUUUAACCUUUGUGCUUAAAUCCUUGCUGAUACUUGUUUUGUUUCUCAGAAUCAAGGAAACUUAUUUUGAGCUAUUUACAGUGUUUAAUAAUUGAGUAAAAUAUAUACCUGUGAACAAAAUUUCAAACAUAUUUGUUGCUCUCUGCCUGGCUUCUCCAGAAUUUGAAAACUAUUUGUGAGUAUUCUUAGCUUAUGGCAAUAUACUUAUUUGCAUUAGUGCAAUAAGAAUCCAUUUUCUUUUGCAACAGGACACAAUUGGAGAAACUGGAUGUUUUACCAAGGCUUUGGCUGGAAGGAUAUGCUUCCCUUUAAGGAAUCAAGUUUGACUUGCAGAGGCAAUAAAAGCCCCCUGGGAAAACUGGCCUCAUACUUUGUUUACACAGCCCCCAUACAGGGUUUCUAAACUGUGGUGAGUAAAGAAUGUCACUUUUUUUUUUUUUUUUUUUUGAGAUGGAGUCUUGCUCUGUUGCCCAGGCUGGAGUGCAGUGGCAUGAUCUCGGCUCACUGCAAACUCCACCUCCUGGGUUCACGCCAUUCUCCUGACUCAGCCUCCCAAGUAGCUGGGACUACAGGCACCCACCACCACACCCGGCUAAGUUUUUGUAUUUUUAGUAGAGACGGAGUUUCACCAUGUUAGCCAGGAUGGUCUCGGUCUCCUGACCUUGUGAUCUGCCCUCUGCAGCCUCCCAAAGUGCUGGGAUUACAGGUGUGAGCCAUUGCGCCUGGCCAAGUAUGUCACUUUCUAUCAGGCCCAGGAGCCCCAUGCUUUUGCCACCUUAAGAAGAGAGGAAUUUACCUAACUCAUAGGUAUUUGAGGGUACAAACCCAUUGUUAAGCUCAGCUUUAAAAGGUCUUAUCUGAAAUUCCUUGUGGAAGAGAGUUCCAUCAAAGCCAAUUUAAAAGUGUCAGGCCUCUGAGCCCAAGCUAAGCCAUCAUAUCCCCUGUGACCUGCACGUAUACAUCCAGAUGGCCUGAAGUAACUGAAGAAUCAGAAAAGAAGUAAUAUUUAAAUGGCCUGUUCCUGCCUUAACUGAUGACAUUCCACCACAAAAGAAGUGAAAAUGGCUGGUCCUUGCCUUAACUGAUGACAUUACCUUGUGAAAUUCCUUCUCCUGGCUCAUCCUGGCCUAAAAAGCUCCCUGACUGAGCACUUUGUGACCCCCACUCCUGCCUGCCAGAGAACAACCCCUCUUUUUCCUUUACCUACCCAAAUCUUAUAAAACAGCCCCACCCCUAUCUCCCUUUGCUGACUCUCUUUUUGGACUCAGCCUGCCUGCACCCAGGUGAAAUAAACAGCCUUGUUGCUCACACAAAGCCUGUUUGGUGGUCUCUUCACAUGGAUGCGAGUUAAAUUUUGGUGCUGUGACUCAGAUCAGGGGACCUCCCUUGGCAGAUCAAUCCCCUGUCCUCCUGCUCUUUGCUCCGUGAGAAAGAUCCACCUACAACCUCAGAUCCUCAGACUGACCUGCCCAAGGAACACCACACCCAUUUUAAA
rnacentral:lncRNA from 10 species